AUUGAACGCUGGCGGCGUGCCUAACACAUGCAAGUCGAGCGGUAACAGGUGUAGCAAUACAUGCUGACGAGCGGCGAACGGGUGAGUAAUGCUUUGGAAUCUUCCCAGUAGUGGGGAAUAACCAGUCGAAAGAUUGGCUAAUACCGCAUACGUCCGUAAGGGGAAAGCAGGGGAUCGUAAGACCUUGCGCUAUUGGAUGAGCCAAAGUCGGAUUAACUAGUUGGUGAGGUAAUGGCUCACCAAGGCGACAAUCCGUAGCUGGUCUGAGAGGACGACCAGCCACACCGGAACUGAGACACGGUCCGGACUCCUACGGGAGGCAGCAGUGGGGAAUAUUGGACAAUGGGGGAAACCCUGAUCCAGCGACGCCGCGUGUGUGAAGAAGGCCUGCGGGUUGUAAAGCACUUUUAGUGGGGACAAAAAGCUACGGACUAAUACUCUGUGGUCUUGAUUUAACUCACAGAAAAAGCACCGGCUAACUCUGUGCCAGCAGCCGCGGUAAUACAGAGGGUGCGAGCGUUAAUCGGAAUUACUGGGCGUAAAGCGCGCGUAGACGGUUUUGUAAGUCAGAUGUGAAAUCCCCGGGCUCAACCUGGGAACUGCAUUUGAAACUGCAUGGCUAGAGUACGGUAGAGGGAAGUGGAAUUUCCGGUGUAGCGGUGAAAUGCGUAGAUAUCGGAAGGAACACCAGUGGCGAAAGCGACUUCCUGGACCAGUACUGACGUUCAUGUGCGAAAGCGUGGGGAGCAAA
rnacentral:rRNA from 1 species